rnacentral:tRNA from 1 species
GACCUCAUGGUGAAAUGGAGAUCAUCGGAGCUUGCGAAGCUUCAGUUCCAGGUUCGAGUCCUGGUGGGGUCA